GCCAGCGGUGGUAGCACGUUGAAUACACCAGUUUCCAUUGGAUCACUGAAGUUAAGCAACGCUGCGCGUGGUAGGUAUACGGAAAAGUGAACAUUUGUUUAGAGAAAAACUUCUCAUUUGAAUUUAAAACCAAUAAAUCACCGAAAGUUUC
rnacentral:rRNA from 1 species